CGGGGUUUUACCAUAUUGGCCAGGCUGGUCUCGAGCUCCUGACCUCAAGCUGUCCACCCUCCUUGGCCUCCCAAAGUGCUGGGAUUACAGAUGUGAGCCACCGCACCCAGCCUGAGGUAGAUUUUAUAUUUGUCAUUGCCCAGCAUCAAGCGUCAGGCAGGGAGGCAGAAAGAGCACCUGUAUUACAUUUAAGCGAAUCCAAGUUUGAAUCUUGCAUUCUGUCACUUCCUAACUGUGCAACCUAGAGCAAGUUCCCUAAUGUUUGUCUCUUCCUUCCUUAUCUGUGAUUUGAAGUGCUGACUCAUCUGUAGGCACUAAAUAAAUGGCAGGCAGGUGUUAUCUGUAUGGUGUCAAGGAGUUCCUUAAACCUCUCUGAGCAUGUUUCUUCCUCUGUAAAAUGGAAUAACAGCCCCAAUAUCAAAGGGAGAGGCUGAAGCAAAGUAUAUGACGUAAAGAGUUUAUUUGAGCCAGGAUAAGGAAGAUUCAGACAUCAGUCACCUUGGAUAUGAGCUCCACUUGGCCUUUAUUACAGGCAGAUUUUUAAAGGCAAAAAAGGAGGGGGACAAGGAUUGGACUGAUACAAAGUUCUGCCGCGGAUUCUCAUUGAUUUACAGAAAUAACAUUGAUUAGUGAUUGGCUACCCAUUGUUAAGCCUUAGAGUGUGGGAUGUUGUGUCCAGUGAGGUGUUAUUAGGUUAAUUCAUAGCUACUUGUGGCAAUAGCAGGCAGUUUUGACAGAUGAAUACAUAGCUCUAAAGAGGGAGAAUAAGAUGUGAUUGCCGUUUGAAUGCUUCUCUGGGCCUAAUAAUUUGAAAGAGCCCACAUUCCUCGAUAAAAGUUCUUUUCUUUCCUUGGGAUUAAGUUAGAUGAUAAAUUUACAAUGUUUAGCAUGCCGAUUUAUAUGUAUUAAGUAUUCAUAAAGUGUUAUUCCAUGUGCUGAGCGAGGGGAACACCCUCCCACGUGCUCCCAUGAGCCCUAUUUCUGGCAGAUGUAAAGAUUUUUUUUAAAUGGCUUUUUUUGGCCACAUCUAGGAAGUAAGAGGGAAAAUAAAGAGAAGUGAGAAACAGCUUAGUCCAUGAAAAUGGUAAUAAUGGUAGUAAUGAUGGUGAUGAGAAUGCUGCAGUUUUCUUCUGUAUGAUUUUUUUUUUUUUGAGACAGAGUCUCACUCUUGUCACCCGGGCUGGAGUGCAAUGGCACUAUCUCAGCUCACUGCAACCUUCACCUCCCGGGUUCAAGUGAUUCUCCUGCCUUAGCCUCCGGAGUAGCUGGGAUUACAGCCACGCACCACCACUCCUGGUUAAUUUUUAUAUUUAUAGUAGAGAUGGGGAUUCACCAUGUUGGCCAGGCUGGUCUCGAACUCCUGACCAGGUGUCAGGUGAUCCACCUGCCUCAGACUCCCGAAGCAUUGGGAUUACAGGCAUGAGCCAGUACGAUGUGUUUUUUUGUUUGUUUGUUUGUUUUUUUAUACUUUAAGUUCUAGGGUACAUGUGCACAAUGUGCAGGUUUGUUACAUAUGUAUACAUGCGCCAUGUUGGUGUGCUGUACCCAUUAACUCGUCAUUUACAUUAGGUGUAUCUCCUAAUGCUAUCCCUCCCCCCUCCCCCCACCCCAUGACAGGCCCCAGUGUGUGAUGUUUCCCUUCCUGUGUCCAAAUGUUCUCAUUGUUCAAUUCCCAUCUAUGAGUGAGAACAUGCGGUGUUUGGUUUUUUGUCCUUGCGAUAGUUUGCUGAGAAUGAUGGUUUCCAGCUUCAUCCAUGUCCCUACAAAGGACCUGAACUCAUCUUUUUUAUGGCUGCAUAGUAUUCCAUGGUGUAUAUGUGCCACAUUUUCUUAAUCCAGUCUAUCAUUGAUGGACAUUUGGGUUAGUUCCAAGUCUUUGCUAUUGUGAAUAGUGCCACAAUAAACAUACGUGUGCAUGUGUCUUUAUAGCAGCAUGAUUUAUAAUCCUUUGGGUAUAUACCCAGUAAUGGGAUGGCUGGGUCAAAUGGUAUUUCUAGUUCUAGAUCCUUGAGGAAUCACCACACUGUCUUCCACAAUGGUUGAACUAGCUUUUAUGCAUUGCAAAGUGACUACACAAAGUGACCUAUCCCUUGUCUCCUUUAUCUCUCUAGCAACCCUCCAGUUAUUAGGGCAGCUACUACUCUCAUCUUCCAUAUAAGAAGUGGGAACACUUUCAUGGAUGUUCUGGGACUCACAGUCCAAGUCCUGGUUCUUAGAGAGUUGGAUCCAGAUCCUGUGUCUUCCCUCCUAAAUACAAAACAAUGACGACAACAACAAACCAUUCAAACUUCCAACCAACUUCCCCUGAAGGCACAGAAGGUGAGACCUAAGGGAAAAGAAAUCCACCCUCUUUAACAUCAGCUAACAGCAUAGGAGUAAAUAGUUUUAAAGAAGGUGAAAGCUCUUCCCUUUUCCUAACCUAGCUUGGCCUUGAUUCUAUUAAUACCAAGCCUGUGUGAA
rnacentral:lncRNA from 1 species